GGGCCCGUAGAUCAGCUGGAAGAUCGCCGCCUUGGCAGGGCGGAGGUCCCGGGUUCGAAUCCCGGCGGGUCCACCA
rnacentral:tRNA from 1 species